UUACGGCCUUAUCAUGUUGAAACACCAGGUUCCUCUACAAUCCCCAAAGUUAAGCAACGUCGAGCCCUGAUCAGUACCUAGAUGGGUGACUGCUUGGGAAUACCAGAUGCU